UUUGUCUUCGUAAUUCUGUUUUCUUGCCUUGUUUCCCUGCUGAAAUAGUUCCUGGAGUGGCAGGACUGGGGAUGUUGGGUGCAUUCUUAUUUCAAUCCUGAGUUGUCUUCCGUGAAACGAAACCAAACCAAAACCUAGCAGCCCGAAGUGAAUGAGCACACCUUUUCUUGAGUGGCUUUUUUUUUUUGCUGUUGUUGCUGUUCCCCUCUGGACUUCUGAACAGUACACUUCAUGGAUCUGUUGGAGCUCUGAAUUUAAUUACUUCAGUGUAUUAACCCAUGCAUGCUAGCAGAAUUGUUACAUUAACUCCCCGAGCCUUGUAAAAGAACGUAAGGUGUUCGAGGACCCUCUAGUUUGGGGCUGGCUGGAAAUUUAUGGAAUGUAUUUAUAAUAGGUGUUUCAAGUGUAUUCUGAGCUGUUAUAAACGGUUCUGCUGCUCUCACUAUUCUAAUUCAAAGGAAUGAAAGAGAGAAUGUAAACUCAUUGCUUGUAACCCUGCAGGAACUGCUCGCUUUGAUAUUUGGAGAAGGUGAAGAGAAUUUCCAUCAUUGAGAAGGAGUAUAAGCAGAAGCUCGCUCGGGUAACCCAGGUCCGCAAGGAGCUGAAAUCUCACAUCCAGAGCCUUCCAGAUCUGUCACUGCUGCCCAACGUCACAGGAGGUCUGGCACCUCUGCCGUCUGCUGGUGACCUGUUUUCAACAGACUAGAACAAAUGGUGUCCCCUAGUUUCCAUUAUUACCAGCAAAAGUAAGAAGACUGUUGACUGGAAAUCCAGUCUUCCCAGAUGUACAGUAGGAAAGAACUUUCAGACCCUGCUUUCAACCUCUUGGCUGCUCAUGCUCACCCUCUUUCUGUGUACACUGGCUCACAAGGAGGGCAGGGUAAAGAGUGAGUUUUUGUGAGCUCUUAGGGGAGUGGGGAUAGUCCGUAUAAGCAAUCUUCUCUCAUAAUUUUUCCUUACUUUUUAGUUUGUUUGCUCUUAGCACUUGUUACCCCACAAAAGUCAUGAGAAUCGUGUACAUAUAUAUCUGGAAAGUGUUCAAAGAAAGGCUGACUGUAUAACAUUUUCCUCUGUAAAACUAUUGUGUUAUUUCAGAACGUCUUGCCUGUUUUUGCUGGGUCUCUGAAGCUCGUAUCUGAAAGCAGUAGUGGCUAGUGGGCUUUGUAGGGGUGCGUGCAUGUGUGUCUGCAGGUACUGUAUCAUGUCAGUGAAGGACAAAGGCACCUACUGAACAAUGGCACAAAUACUUUAAAUCUACAGUUCCUCAUGCUGUUGUAGGCCUCACAUAAAAAAUAGUUCCUAUUUGGCAUGAACAUAAAUUGAAACUCACCACAGGCAAUAAAAAUAAACAGCUUUUCUUUGUGAAUUAGAGAGCUUCAUAAUUUAAGCUCUGCUGAGCCAUGCAGAACUGGAUAUUACCUAAACGAGAGUGGAAGUAAAUUUAGUUCUAGCUGCCUUAGAUUUAUACUAUAUUUUUCCUCUUCAUUAUACAAAAUAAACGAUCACAGAAGCUUUGCUUUAACUGAGAGGCUGGAAUGGUGGAUUGUAACUGGUCAUAUCCCAUUGCAGAUCUGCUCUGAAGGUUGUCAUGCUGAAAGCAUUCUAUGAAUUCUCCCUGUAGCUUUAGUCAAGUUAUUUGAUGAACAGAAGUUAAAUGUGAUAUAAACAUUUUUUUAAUCUAGAAAGUAGACCCAUAUACACAUCCAGUAUGCACAUGUGCUAUAUCUAUGCAUGUAGGUAUUAGAAGGAUGUACUUGAUUUUGUAUCACAGAUUGUGAGUUGAUUUUAUUAUUUGGGGGAAAAAUUAGAAUACUCUUUAAUUUGCUAGCUAAUAUUUUAGCUGCCGUGGAUGUCGUUAGAUUUCAGUUUGUGUGUCAGGUCUAUCAAGCUGGACUCUCAUCACUGAAAACCAUUCCUAUUUGGGAAAAAAGUCUGUUUAAUAGCUCUCCCUAUAGAACACCUGAAUUUUCUGGAAACACUUGGUCUGACAGCGCAGGCUCUGUCACAGAGAGGCUGAAAUAAGUUACCUUGAUGUGCUGCGUUUGUGCCUCGCCACAGUCUUAAGCUGCAGUUAGCAAAGACAUGAGAAGAUACCUAUAGAAAUGCAAAUCUCGGUCUGCAUUCUCAUUAAUUUAUUUUGUGGAGUAUUCACUAGCUUAUUUGCAUUCAGUUAAAUAACACAACGUUUUUGGUCCUUUAGUUGCUGAAAAGCUCAUGUGCUUUUCUUACUGACGCUUCACUUUUUUGUGUGUUUUUUUUUGUUUUUUUUUGUAGAAAGGAAACUUUUUGCACCCAUAUUGCCCAGCCAAGAAAUGUGCUUUCUUUUUCACUUACAGGAAAUUUUACAGUGGCAGAGAAUUAUUUUUUCCAUGAAUUGGUUUGAUCUUGCAACCAUUUGUGGACCAAAUGACACUUACAUAAAGCACCCAAUUCUUUCUGCUUUUGCCAAAAAUUAAAAAGGAAAAAAAUAAAAUCAAGGGAAACAAAACGAUCCACCAAAGCUCUGAAUCCCAAACCAGAAGAUGAAUUCCUAUCCUGCCUCAGCUCACGGAGUUACCCUGAGGUUGCUUUAACCAGUAAUUGCUCUGACCAUGGAUUGAACGUGUAUCCAUUGUAAUGGAAAACAAACGAUCAAAAUUGUCAUAAAAAAAAAAAACGAUAGAGAUGUGUUGCCAUCUCAUGCUGUUGUUUUGGGCAGAUCUCGUGUGAGAAAGUGGUAUGUCUGUCUUUUUUUUUUUAUUAUUAUUGAAAUGUUUUGAGUUUUUUUUUUCCAAGCGUGCGUGUGUUUUAUUUUGCUUAAUUUAAAUGAAGUCUCAUGGGUUUUACUUUCGUUUUACUUUUUGGGCAAAAGGCAUCUGGUGAACUGAGUAACAUUCUCUCAAGGUUAAACAGAUUUCCCCAAGGUGUGUCUCUUUUUUUUUUUUUAAAUUUAAAUGCUAAAAUCUGUAUAUUAAUUGUUUUAGGAAUUAAUUUAGACAUAUAGGCUGCCAUUUGUGACAGCAGUAUAUUCUGAAAUGUCUCAUAGAUCUAUAUUUUUGAAUAAAGAGGGUGUCGUUGAA